rnacentral:rRNA from 1 species
GAUGAACGCUGGCGGCGUGCUUAACACAUGCAAGUCGAACGAAGCACUUUAUUUGAUUUCCUUCGGGACUGAUUAUUUUGUGACUGAGUGGCGGACGGGUGAGUAACGCGUGGGUAACCUGCCUUGUACAGGGGGAUAACAGUUGGAAACGGCUGCUAAUACCGCAUAAGCGCACAGCAUCGCAUGAUGCAGUGUGAAAAACUCCGGUGGUAUAAGAUGGACCCGCGUUGGAUUAGCUAGUUGGUGAGGUAACGGCCCACCAAGGCGACGAUCCAUAGCCGACCUGAGAGGGUGACCGGCCACAUUGGGACUGAGACACGGCCCAAACUCCUACGGGAGGCAGCAGUGGGGAAUAUUGCACAAUGGGCGAAAGCCUGAUGCAGCGACGCCGCGUGAGCGAAGAAGUAUUUCGGUAUGUAAAGCUCUAUCAGCAGGGAGGAUAAUGACGGUACCUGACUAAGAAGCACCGGCUAAAUACGUG